rnacentral:lncRNA from 1 species
GGGAGUCUUUCGGGAAUUUCUAAUAUUAUUUUACUCAAAACCCUUUAGUUCCAAUUGGUAUUUGCAACCGGGAAUAAAGAUGUGCCUAGUCCCGGUUGGGAAAACCGAAAUCUAUGAAAUUUAUUAACGAACCAGAGGAAAUCUUUUUUUUCCGACGUGCUUAUGUGAUCAAGUACAAUAGACUGGGUAUUCGUUCUCUGAGUAAAUUAUUGCACAUAUGGGUUGUGGAGGACCAUUUAUUUAAAUGAAUUAAUGUAUAUUCAGACCUAGAAUUUAUUUUUUCAAGUGUAUGUGUUAG